rnacentral:lncRNA from 1 species
AUUCAUUUACAAAUUAGACAUGAUUCACAAAUUAAAAUAUGGUUUACAAAAAAAUAUGUUUACAAAUUUAAACCAGUUCACUAAUCUAUCCCUAAUUAAAAAAAAAGAAACUAAACCUACUGAUUUGCUCUGGCUCAACAAGGCAGAAGGCGUGGGGGUUAGCUCUAAAUGGAGGCGGCUGCUUCUCGAGAAAAGACUUUUGAUUCUUCUCAAGCAAUUUCUUACUGCUUCGAGAAGGGCUAUCACGGCUGAGAAGAGGGAAGAUCAAGUUGAAGAGAUACGUGACGCAACCACUGUCUCACUGCUUCGAGUCACACGACGUUCUCUGCCUCUCAUUCAUAGUAUCCUUUAAAAGUGGCUAUAGUUAAGUUAUUCUUUGCAUAUGUAUAUAUGUUUGCAUUCCAUGAGAAAUAAGAAAUGAAAAGAUUACCUUUGACAGGAAGACAAGUAGUUACAGAAGAAAAACAGAGACGGGGAUACUUUGUACAAGCUGUUCCUUCCAUAAAAAUUGCUCUCAGAAACUGUUCUUCUAUCUAGGAGAGUUAUACACGAGUUUUGCAUUGCACAUCCAGAAACUAAAACGAUUAGAUAGAUCACGAGUCAUGCUAUUCGCAAAUACAUAUUAGACCACAAAAGUGGGUCAGCAAAACAAGUGAUAGUUUGAGUAAAGACAAAUCCUCAAAGCCAUAAAAAGUUACAAUGACAAGAUUUGUGAACAACAGUUGCGUAUAUGUGUUUUCUUAAGCAUUGCGUUUCUUUCAACUAAAUGGUUUCGGGCUGUUGCUAUCAACAUUCUGGCAAGUGGCAAUAAGCUCAAUCAUGCAAGUCAUUGUUCAAGAUAUAAAAUUGCCUAAC